GUUCUUUCUUCACAACCUACAAUAAUAGCAGCAUUUCUUUAAGGAUGUAUAUAAAAUGGUGUCAACACACAGAGGAUUAUUAUUAAGAGCCAUUUUAGACGUUUCCGGAUAAAUUAAGUAUUCGUUUUUCACAUGAUGGAUAUAUGUUUCCCAGAAUUUAUGUACAUGGAUACCACAAUAACUUGUGAAUUUAGAUGAACCACUUGACAAUAUGUCAUGGGAACCAUGGAGUAUAUGCCCAAGAAAGACGUGCUUGGAUAUUCAGUGUCUGUAAGUACAGACCCAAUGGCUGACUGAUAUUUAUAGGAUAGUGGUUUUCUUUCAAAAGUGAUACAACUGACAACCUAUACAAUUUCUAUCGGAGGAAUGCAUGAUCAUGCAAAUGUAGGUAAACUAUAAUAUAAUAAUACAAGACUUAUUGGAUUUUCUUUUCUGAUAAAGGCCCUGAUACACAUUUACUGAGCGAUGCCAUACCAUACAAUGUUUAUUACACAUGCUGUUUGAUAUUUCAUACAAUAUUUAUUACUCUGUUUGAUAUCAUUAUAAUGAAUGUGUGCUGAGCUGAAUGAUGAAACAUACACAUAAUGUGAAACUAUGAUAUAUAACAGCACACUAUUUUAUCUUGCUUCCAAUGAUGUAUCAUGUGGCUUCAGCCAAUAUAAUACUUUCUACAGAAUUCAGAUUUGUAUUUACUUUUGCAGUAAACCAUGUUCAAAGUUUGCAAAUAAGUGACCGCUUGUAUUACAUGGGGAGAUUUAUAGCAUAGAAUAGAAUAGCUCAGUCAAUAUGUAUCCAGAUCUUAAGGAUUGUAAAAUGGUGAACUUUUGUAUGCCAUGUGUGACACUAUCUAAAAUACGGCAAGAUACGUCUUCAAGAAUACAAAAGCAUUUACCAAUUUCUUUUCUACAUUUUAAUGUGUACAACAUUCUUGCAUGUGUACACCGACAUAUACUGGUGCACUUCUAAAUGAGGAAUUCACAAAUCUUCGUAUAUCGAAUCUAUUCACUCACCAGCAAUUCUAAAUGUGGAAUAUCUUGGAUUAUUGUGACACACAACCAAAUCUCAUUAGUUUGAAAUCAUGUGCAUUAAGGAUACAGAAUACUGGAUGUACAAUCUCAUUAGUUUGAAAACAUGUGAAUUAAGGAUACAGAAUACUGGAUGUAUGACCUCAUUAGUUUGAAAUCAUGUGCAUUAAGGAUACAGAAUACUGGAUGUACAACCUCGUUAGUAUACUCUUCUGAAUUUGAAGUUACAGUAACAGCCUUAUGGGAUUUUAGCAGCAUUCUAAGCAAGGGAACUUCAAGAUACAGAUCUGUUUGACAACAGUGGCGGAAACACGAGGAGGAUAGUGGAUCACUCGACAAGUGUCUCAAGAGGGAUUACAACGGGCCAAGUCACAUUACUUAUCGGAUGACAUGGGGGAGCAGUCACAAAUACAACAGGAGUGGCUCACCGCACUGGACUAAGACAAACACAUCACAGAGAGAAAGAACACUGUGAAUGAUGUAAGACAAAUGAAGCACAAGAACAGGAAAAUAAACCCAUAGUGAAACUAUGAGACAACAGUUGUGACAUGGCAGGCAAUUUAAAUGAAGCUCAGUUGGACAGGUAAGAUUUUUGCUGCUGUCAUUUCACUUUUCAAGCCAACCAAAUUGGAAGGAUUAACAAAAUUCAGACCAAAAACCUGGAUUUACUGGACCAAAAUCAAGUAAGUUUCUUUAAAAUCAUUGUUGCUAUAAAUGUUUAUUUUAUAAGCAGGAAGUUACCUCCAUUUCAAUGAUAGUUCAUUAAACCCCAUCAGUUUACACCAUUGUACUUCUAGACACUUUAAUCAAGAAUUGUCUGUCCAGAAACUACAAAAAUACUGCAUUAUUAUAUAUUUUAACAAGAGAUAAUUGCUGCAUUCUUUAGUCAUGUUAUAUUUAACUUCUUUUUUUGUAAUCCAGAUUAUUUUUCUGUUAUUGUAUCAUAGGCUUGUAUCCACUACUUGCAUCUCUUGGUGGAUAAAACACAAUUUUAUUUUAACAAUGAUUUCCCUUUUUGUUUUUCCUGUACCAAAGAAGAUUUAAGGGAUAUGUGUUUUAUAGUCAGAAGCCAUCAUGUAUCAUUUCUAAUCUGUAACAUUCAGCUUGGAAUCAAAUCAUUAAAGUAGAAAAUAA
rnacentral:lncRNA from 1 species